UGGGGAAUUUUGGACAAUGGGCGAAAGCCUGAUCCAGCAAUGCCGCGUGUGUGAAGAAGGCCUUCGGGUUGUAAAGCACUUUUGUCCGGAAAGAAAUCCUUGGCUCUAAUACAGUCGGGGGAUGACGGUACCGGAAGAAUAAGCACCGGCUAACUACGUGCCAGCAGCCGCGGUAAUACGUAGGGUGCAAGCGUUAAUCGGAAUUACUGGGCGUAAAGCGUGCGCAGGCGGUUUGCUAAGACCGAUGUGAAAUCCCCGGGCUCAACCUGGGAACUGCAUUGGUGACUGGCAGGCUAGAGUAUGGCAGAGGGGGGUAGAAUUCCACGUGUAGCAGUGAAAUGCGUAGAGAUGUGGAGGAAUACCGAUGGCGAAGGCAGCCCCCUGGGCCAAUACUGACGCUCAUGCACGAAAGCGUGGGGAGCAAACAGGAUUAGGUACCCUGGUAGUCCACGCCCUAAACGAUGUCAACUAGUUGUUGGGGAUUCAUUUCCUUAGUAACGUAGCUAACGCGUGAAGUUGACCGCCUGGGGAGUACGGUCGCAAGAUUAAAACUCAAAGGAAUUGACGGGGUCAUAGC
rnacentral:rRNA from 1 species